AAUCUGAAAUUCCUAGGGACUGCAAAAAAGUAGAAGACUUGAGAUGCUACACUUGUUACAGGUGAACGAGGUACAAAUAAUAGCAAAUCAGUUCAGCCAUUAACACAUGACAAUGAAGCUUGCGUGCAACAUUUUCAAACGUGAACUAAUAAGGCCAUCUUAGUACGAUUACCUUUCGCCACAGUUGAUUGGUCAAAUCAUUCACACACGAAAUCAUGGGAAUAAGCACAAAUCAACACAGUAUAUCACUGAAAUAAAAUCAAAGUAUAUGAUUUCUUUAAUUUUCCACAAACAGACACGCGAUAAAAGCAUCUUGCCAUUGUCUCUAAACACUAAACUAUUCACAAUUACAUAAAAUCAUCCGGCGUCAAAAUUAUUUUCAAUUUUAUCUAUUUACCCAAUUGAUAACAUGGCAGUCAGUAGAACUAUAGAGCAAUGGCAACAAAGAAGAAACUCCUCAAUCACUCAACAUAAAAUUCAAUUGGAUUAUGCAACUAAGUCUUUGCGUCAGCUUUUUCAAUCAUGUACAGAACAGAGCAUCCAAAUUCUAUCGAAUCAUACAUCAGCACUGCACAUAGAGUGCGAUUAAAAUACCACCCAAUUAAUUACGAUAAUCAAGCUUAAGAUCCGGCAAUCAAUUGAAACAAUAAAUACCCACGAAAUUCAACAAAUUUAAUUGCAGACUGAGCACGAUAAAAGUAUGAACAUGAAGAAAAUUCAAAGGAAUAACAUUAAAAUAAAUAUAUGUUAUUAAGAGGGAAAAACGUUACCGACAACACUGGAUCCACCGGAGCCAAGGGUCAUGGUGUGAAUAUGCAAAAACUGGUUUCUGCGUAUGGAUCGAUUUGAUCGGAGAAGGCGGAGUCGAGCGAAUCUAAAGAAGAAGGUACGCGAGGUUGAGGGCUUAAAAGGGGCGAGAGAGAGAGAAAGGGGAAUAUUUUACGAAUAAAAUAAUUGCAAAAGGAUUAACAAAUAAAUAAUUACUAAAUGAUAAUUAACUCAUUUUAUUGAGGGACAAUUAGCUAAACAAAUCAUGAUAUCUAUAAUCCUAUUAGC
rnacentral:lncRNA from 1 species